rnacentral:rRNA from 1 species
GAUGAACGCUGGCGGCGUGCCUAACACAUGCAAGUCGAGCGAACGGACGAGAAGCUUGUUUCUUUGAUGUUAGCGGCGGACGGGCGAGUAACACGUGGAUAACCUACCUAUAUUACUGGGAUAAUUUCGGGAAACCGGAGAUAAUACCGGAUAAUAUUUUGAACCGCAUGGUUCAAAAGUGAAAGACGGCCUUGCUGUCACUUAUAGAUGGAUCCGCGCUGCAUUAGCUAGUUGGUAAGGUAACGGCUUACCAAGGCAACGAUGCAUAGCCGACCUGAGAGGGUGAUCGGCCACACUGGAACUGAGACACGGUCCAGACUCCUACGGGAGGCAGCAGUGGGGAAUCUUCCGCAAUGGGCGAAAGCCUGACGGAGCAACACCGCGUGAGUGAUGAAGGUCUUCGGAUCGUAAAGCUCUGUUAUUGGGGAAGAACAUAUGUGUAAGUAACUGUGCACAUCUUGACGGUACCUAAUCAGAAAGCCACGGCUAACUACGUG